rnacentral:rRNA from 1 species
GAGUUUGAUCCUGGCUCAGAUUGAACGCUGGCGGCAGGCUUAACACAUGCAAGUCGAGCGGAGACUUCGGUCUUAGCGGCGAACGGGUGAGGAAUGCCUGGGAAUCUGCCUAUUAGUGGGGGAUAACGUUCCGAAAGGAACGCUAAUACCGCAUACGUCCUACGGGAGAAAGCAGGGGACCUUCGGGCCUUGCGCUAAUAGAUGAGCCCAGGUCGGAUUAGCUAGUUGGUGGGGUAAAGGCUCACCAAGGCGACGAUCCGUAGCUGGUCUGAGAGGAUGAUCAGCCACACUGGAACUGAGACACGGUCCAGACUCCUACGGGAGGCAGCAGUAGGGAAUAUUGGACAAUGGGCGAAAGCCUGAUCCAGCCAUGCCGCGUGUGUGAAGAAGGCCUUCGGGUUGUAAAGCACUUUAAGCGGGGAGGAAGUACUUGGGGCUAAUACCCCUGAGUGUUGACGUUACCCGCAGAAUAAGCACCGGCUAACUCUGUGCCAGCAGCCGCGGUAAUACAGAGGGUGCAAGCGUUAAUCGGAAUUACUGGGCGUAAAGCGCGCGUAGGCGGUUUGUUAAGUCGGAUGUGAAAUCCCCGGGCUCAACCUGGGCACGGCAUCCGAUACUGGCUGACUAGAGUGUGGGAGAGGAAGGUAGAAUUCCAGGUGUAGCGGUGAAAUGCGUAGAGAUCUGGAGGAAUACCGAUGGCGAACGCAGCCUUCUGGCCUAACACUGACGCUGAGGUGCGAAAGGCAUGGGGAGCAAACAGGAUUAGAUACCCUGGUAGUCCAUGCCGUAAACGAUGUCAACUAGCCGUUGGGGACCUUGAGUCUUUAGUGGCGCAGCUAACGCGAUAAGUUGACCGCCUGGGGAGUACGGCCGCAAGGUUAAAACUCAAAUGAAUUGACGGGGGCCCGCACAAGCGGUGGAGUAUGUGGGUUUAAUUCGAUGCAACGCGAGACCUUUACCUGGCCUUGACAUAUCCAGAACCCCUGCAGAGAUGCGGGGUGCCUUCGGAUCCGGAUACAGUGCUGCAUGGCUGUCGUCAGCUCGUGUCGUGAGAAUGUUCGAGUUAUGUCCUGCACGAGGCUGCCUAUC